UACAGAGGGUGCGAGCGUUAAUCGGAAUUACUGGGCGUAAAGCGUGCGCAGGCGGCUAUUUAAGCUUGCUGUGAAAGCCCCGGGCUUAACCUGGGAACUGCAGUGAGGACUGGAUGGCUGGAGUGUGGCAGAGGGGGGUGGAAUUCCACGUGUAGCAGUGAAAUGCGUAGAGAUGUGGAGGAACACCGAUGGCGAAGGCAGCCCCCUGGGCUAACACUGACGCUCAGGCACGAAAGCGUGGGGAGCAAACAGG
rnacentral:rRNA from 1 species